rnacentral:lncRNA from 1 species
ACUUUCGGAGGCCAAGGCAGGAGGAUCACUUGAGCCCAAGAGUUCAAGACCAGCCUGGGCAACAUAGCAAGACCCCAUCUCUAAAAAAAAUAGUUAAUAAGUAAAUAAAAUAUUCACAUUUAACUGGGUGUCUUGGGUCGUUUUGCUAAAUCUGGCAGCCUGUCUAGGAAGCCCUCUGGCUUGUUUGCUGUGGCCCACAGCCCUCAAUGGUUCAGCUUUGUGUCUCUGUGGAAGGCCCCAGACCCCCAUUCCCCCAGUUCCCAUCCUUAACAGGGUAGCAGCAGGUGGACGGCUGUGUGUCCAGCACAAGGUGUUUCCAUAGAACCAGCCAAGGCCCAUCUUGCCAUCUUAUUUUUUAUUUAUUUAUUUUUUUUGAGACAGAGUCAGGCUGGAGUGCAGUGGUGCAAUCCUGGCUCACUGCAACCUCUGCUUCCUGGGUUGAAGCGCUUCUCCUGCCUCAGUCUCCCGAGUAGCUGCGAUUACAGGCACCUGCCAGAAUGCCUGGCUAAUUUUUACAUAUAUAUUUUAAUAGAGAUGGGGUUUUGCCGUGUCAGCCAGGCUGGUCUUGAACUCAUGACCUCAAGUGAUCUGCCUGCCUUGGCCUCCCAAAGUGCUGGGAUUACAGGCAUGAGCCACUGCGCCAGGCCCAGGGGCCCAACUUAACACUGCUCUGUGCAUGAGACUCGUGCUGAGCAGGGGCAGUGGGAGCCUUAGAAGCUCCCACUUGGUCCACACCCUCCUCUGUUCUGAACUUCCCUAUCAGAACAGGGAAGCUGGGAAGCUCAAUCUAAUGUGGCAAGUUGCUGAACUGGCUCGGGUCUCAGUUUCCCUAUUAGGUUGUUAUGAGGGUUGGGGAUUUGCUUCUGCUGUAAAGUGUACCCAUGAUGGUGCCAUUAUCUGGGAGUUGAUAGAUUCAAGGCUGGCAGCUCCACAUACCCAAGCUUGGAGGUGGCAGGGAGCCACACCUCGAAGACAGAUUGAGGUGCCUUGAGUGCAGAGACAGGAAGGGCUUUCCAAAAACAGAAAAUAAAUAGCCCGGGCAGAGCCUGGGAGGCAGAGCUGUGCAGGGCACCCGGAUGGAGGGCAUGAGCAGAGAGAUGGGAGGCUGGCCCCAAGGGAAAAAACUGGAGGCCAUGGGAGCGGUGUGGUCCAGGGUGGCCUGAGUCCCUGGUGGAGAGGUCACAGACUGCCCAUUCCAGGGGCAACCUGGGCUCCUUGCAGCUGGAGGUGUGGCUGCGGGAUGAGACGGUGCUGCCCUCCAGCUACUACCAGCCACUGGUGCACCUGCUGUGCCACGAGGUCAAGCUGGGCAUGCAGGUGAGGGGACCUGGGCAGGGUGGUAGGGUCCAGUGGCAGUAGGCCUGUGCGCCUGUCCUUCUAAACCCAUUCUGCAGAGCAGAAACCUGAGGUCUGGGGAUGUGAGGAGCUGGCCAGUGUCCAGGGCCCCAUCCCCAGCCACCCCUUGGGAAAAUGUCCUCUUUCCCUGGGAUGCUCUGAGGUCCUCAGAGGGAAAGGUUCGGGAUCCCCCGUGCCUCUCCCUGCAGGGCCCAGGGCCGCUGAUCCCACUCAUCGAGGAGACAACCAGCACCGAGUGUCGCCAGGACGUGGCCACGAACCUGCUCAAGCUCUUCCUGGGGCAGGGGCUGGCCAAGGACUUCCUGGACCUGCUCUUCCAGCUGGAGCUGAGUCGCACCAGAUAAGCUGAGACUCCUCAGGAUGUGGUUCUGCAGCAGAUGAGGUGCGAACAAAGCCUGCUCUUCCCUGGGCACCCAGGAUGGCACUGAGUUCUAAAAGGCAAAGGGUAUGUGGUGAGGGGCCAGGCUGAGGCCCUGGUGUGGUACCAUCAUGGGCAGCAGCACCAUUUGAGGCCGGGUAGGAGAGACGUGCAGGGCCUGGCCCCCCAAGAGACCAGCAGACAAACUGAGGCGGCAGAGAGAGAGAUUCCAGUGUCACCAGGAAGACUGCAGAUCAUAACAACAAUGGUUGCUGAUUUGGCAUCAAAGAGGUGGCACUGUCAAAGCCACAAUUGCUGAAAAUGGCACCAACAUGCUGCAGCUGGAGAGAGUGGGUGACCAACAUUUGUUUGAAGAACAGAUGAUACUCUUUGAAUGGCUCAGCCAACAGCCCAAAGUUUUAAGGGAAGACCUCUCUGCCAGCUUCUCUUGGACAGUGUCUCAUGUAAAACCUCCAAGGCACUUACAUAGCAUAUUUUUGUGUCCACUCUCUUGCUAGUCUGUUGUACCUGGAAUAAAAAAGCAGAGGAAGUGACACCCUCACUUGAAAUGGUCACUUCCCUUCAAUGUGCUGCAGAGAACAGGACUGAUGUGGGGAAUGCUGCUGCUGCUGCUGCUUGUCAAACAUCUACGGCUGAUGGGUGAGUGGAAUAAAGGCUUUCCCUGGAGCAGGAGCACAUCAGACAUGGCUGUAAACCCCCAGCUGGGUGAACCCCUCAUGUGUAAACCCCAAACUGUUGAUUCUCCAUAACUAUCUGCUGUGGAAGAUUUAAUAAUGCAACAGACUUCCUCCCUUUCUUUCUCCUGUCCUACAAUAUGGAUGCAGGGAGGACAGAGAAGAGACACACAAAGGUCAGUUUGUACUAGUUACAGGCUGUCCAGCACACAAACUCCAGAACAAGUGCUUGGGAAUCUGCCUACUGGGGUGUGCAUCAGUACGGUCCUCAGCAGCUGUUCCGCCCCUCUGUGCCCUGGCUUUUUUGAUUGCCUGCCAUGGGGAAAGUAUCUGCCUUGUGUGCUUGUGGGGAAACUAGAGAAGUCUGUAUGUAAAGCACGUGGAGCAGGCCAGGCAUCCAUUGAAGACUAUGCAGGUGUGUGCACUUACUCUCAUCAUUGUAAUGAGACUUGAUGCUAUGAGACUAUAAAUUAGAGAGAUUUAUAGUUAAAAGAGGCACUGAAAAAAAAAUCACUUUUGGUAUGUCUAAAAUAUCUUGUAAAAAGUGUUAAAAUAAACAAACCC